GCUUACGGCCAUACCACCUUAGGCACGCCCGAUCUCGUCUGAUCUCGGAAGCUAAGCAGGGUCGGGCCUGGUAAGUACUUGGAUGGGUGACCGCCUGGGAAUACCAGGUGCUGUAAGCA
rnacentral:rRNA from 1 species